GUUUGCUGGGGUUUUUCCAUAAGAUGUGAUGGAAAAACCCAAACGAACUUUUUGGCCAACCUAGUAAUUCCUGUGUGAAUUUGGUCACGAGAAGCAGUACUAUCUCAGCCUGUGCUGUGUGGUGGCUGGCAGGUGGCACUCAAGUUGGCUGGAGCCCAGUGGCCCAGACAGGACCCCAAGUCCACUGACUCUUUGAUUGACAGAACCCUUUUAAGUCUAACUUAAUUUGGGGAAUCACAAGACUAGGGUACCAUAAACAAAAUCUAAAUUACACGCUGGGCCAAAAACAAGUUGCCAGAAUCGAAGGCACUUUGAAAUGCGGUUGUAAGAGAAGACCGUGAGAUUGGCUCCAUCUGCUUUAUUCUAGUUAAGCCAAAGCUUAAUGAUUAGAGGAGGGAAGUCUUACUGCCUUCUGUGUGUCUUCUUCCUCUCUGAAGAUCUUAAGACUGCUGUGUCCUGGUAGAUAGCGAAAGAUAUGCCAAAGUUAGAGGCUGGUUUUGUGGUUUUUUUGUUUUUUGUUUUUUUUUCUGUUAAAGAAAAAAAUCCGAUGGUGCCAAAAAGUAUUUAUUUAAGACAUCACUCUUACUGAGUUUCCAACAGUCUGGGGCUGUAUAAAAAGUCUUAAUACUUGCGUGUGGUAGAAUCGCAGAACUUGGCCCUCCCAGUCUUCUCUGGCUGUUUGCAGGCUGGGGCAUAAAACACAGACAGACACAAAAACACACACACCCACCCACUCCACUUCACACCGUCUGCUUUUGUUUGCUUUCUACCUCACUUUUGGCAAAAAGUCGUCUACCUCACACUGGCAUCUGACGGGGUCUCUGAAUAGUAUUAAUCCACCGGGAGUGGGUGGGAGCAGGGAGCUACCUCGAGAAGAAAAUGCUUUCAUUAAUUCCAGAACUGACUUCUCCCAGGAGAAACUUGGACCAACCUUGAAAAAGAAACCUGGAAACCAAAUCUUCCUAUACUCAUGCAGAACAGAGUCCUUAAACCCAAAUACUUCUUAACCAAUCUGGCUUUUUCCUCCCACCAGGAGUUGACAAUGCACACCGUUAAUACAUUGCUCAGUGUUCUGAAACCACGAGUACAUCUGACCUGUUUGAGGACUUAACUGCAAAUGAAGACCUUUAGGUCUUUCUUUUAUUUUUUUCUCUUCAAGAGAAAAAAUAUUUUAUCUGUAUUUUGAAUGUCUACAAAUACAGCCUUUUAGGAGCAAUUCUAAGGGUCUGGUUGUUGAAAACAUCACAUCUAUUGGAAGGGAAUGAGCAUCCUUUAGACCUCAUGAUUGUAUUUAUACCCUUCCUGGGCCCAGCUAGGCAUGCCUCACCAUGACAUUGCAGCAAUCACUGUCUGACUGAGCAGUGAUGGUGCAGGGUGUGUCACUCCUGUGUUUGAUUUUUUUCCCCUCCUACCAAAGGUAACACAUACUUUGAUAGGUUGUUCUUUUCCUUUGCUUGUUGAUUAAAUACUUGAUAAAGUUGAGAAGCACAUUACCAUGGUAGUACUGUAUUGCCUCUCCCCCUCUCUUCCUCCCCUCGCUUCAGUUUUUGUUAUAGUUUGGAAGAGAGGGUCCUGAAGACCACUGUCGUCAUUGCGCAUUCGCUUUAAAGAUGUCAUGGUGAAGAAAUACCUCAAUGAUGCCUAUUUUAAAAACUGAUCUUACGGGUUCACAAGCCAGCCUGGUGGGAUGUUUUUCCAUCAUCAUUUAACCAGUAAUGGUUCUAAAAGUUUUGUGUAUCCACAUGGUCGUAGACCUCCUUUUAAUGAUUGUAUUAACUUGCAAGCUCAGGUAGUAUUUUUCUUAAGGCUCUAUCCCAGAGCACACUGACUGAAUGUUAAUGUGUUUACCUUCUUUAAAUAACCAGCUCUGGAAUAGUUCUUUGUGUUUCUAGCAGUCUGUGUAGUUGUCUUUUUCAAGAGGAAGAUUUUUCACAUUUCUGGGAUGUUCUUGUUUUUUAGGGCGGUAAGAUUUCUUUCUUUUUUAUUCUUCUUCAAUUCAAUGCAGGUGAGAGGGUGGGUGGGCAAGGGAUGUUGUUUUUAACUAGCAUGUUAGGUAUAUUUGGGUGGGUGGGAGGGUGAUUAGUGUUUGUUGGUUUUUUUUUUUUUUUUUUUAAUGAAUCUUGCUUAAUACUGUCCAUUAGCUGUCAUGCCCGGUCAACAAAAUGUUUUAAAUUUGAAAGUGUAGAACACAUGGCUUGGUUGAGGGGUUGUUUUUUUUUUGUUUUUGUGAGAAAAGCAAAUGCAAAGUUGGAGAAAUUAACCCGGGCAUGCUGCCUGAGAUUAGAAUGACUAAGAUAAGUCCUUUUUUUUUUUUUUUAAAUUUGUUCAAGGCAGACAUGGUGUAAGGAAUAUGCACCACCAGACUAACUGCCUGGGCCACAGAAACCUAUGCUGCAAGCCCUCCUGGUUGCUGACUGCCUCUUGACACUUUUCAAAAUGGGCAUUGCAGCGGUGGUGUGGAUCCUGUCCAUUAAGUGGAGAACUGGGGAAGUGAAGGGUUUUCCCCAGACCUUUAAGGUGGGUUCUUGUUUGGGGUGGGGUUUUUUUUUUUCCCUCCUCCCUUCUGGAGUUUUACUUUUAAAUGAUACACUGCAGGCCUCAGGCAUGACAGGCAAUGAGCAGGUGAAGAACCGAUGGGAAAGUGUUCAAAAACUCCUGUGUUAGCUAACAGGCUUCUGAAUGUAUCGCUGUGGUCCACAGAGGAGGCUGGACAAGGUAGCAAGGAGAUGAUGUAUCAGCUACUGCAGCCUUAAAACAAAGUUGGUGUCUCUUUGGACUUUAAAAUUGUUCCUAUGCAGCUUAUUUUAUUUUUGUUUAAUCAAAUAAACAAGAGGGUUUUUUCCAUGGAAAGGCUGUGUCUGUGUGGUCCUUGAUUCGAGAAUAAAGAAGGGUGUGUACACUGCCAUCAUGAAAGGGACGUCUGUGAUGGAGGAUCCAGAGCUAGUACUCUGCUCAGUGGGUCAGAUUGGGUCCAUG
ensembl:lncRNA